GUGUCAGCAGCCGCGGUAAUACGGAGGUGGCAAGCGUUGUUCGGAAUCACUGGGCUUAAAGAGCGCGUAGGCGGCCUGUCAAGCGUCCUGUGAAAUCCCUCGGCUCAACCGAGGAACUGCUGGGCGGACUGUCAGGCUUGAGGUAGGUAGGGGCGUGUGGAACUCUUGGUGGAGCGGUGAAAUGCGUAGAUAUCAAGAGGAACGCCGGAGGCGAAAGCGACACGCUGGGCCUAUCCUGACGCUGAGGCGCGAAAGCUAGGGGAGCAAACGGGAUUAGAUACCCCGGUAGUCCUAGCCGUAAACGAUGUCCACUAGGUUGGGGAUCUUUUGACAGACUCCCGGCCGUAGCGAAAGCGUUAAGUGGACCGCCUGGGGAGUACGGUCGCAAGGCUAAAACUCAAAUGAAUUGACGGGG
rnacentral:rRNA from 1 species